UAGCGAAACCUUACGCGGCUACGAACAUUUUUUGUGUGAUACAAUCUUUUGAUGUUGUGGUGUGCUUUGACGUUUUCGGACAUUUUGAAUGUAUUACGAUGUAUUCGGACAUUUUAAAUAUAUUACGAUGCCGUUACAUAAUACAAAGUUAUAAUAUUACCAUAAGUUAAAACUACAUUAGAGGUAUUAAAUUAAUUGAUAUAUUUAUAAUUUAAUUCUUUAUUUUGAUUUUAAAAUAUUAUUAAUUAGAUUAAACAUAAAAUCAAUUUUUUAUAUUGGGUUACAUGUCGUCAUGGCAUGACGUAAUUUGGUAGCACGCUGUUACGACGUGUUUCUUAAAUGUUACAAACGUACAUAAGUUAUGUCAUACAAAACAGUAUAUAAUAUUUGUUGGUACAAAUGUACUAAAAACUUUGCUUAGAUAUAAGAAACAAUUCGGAAAUCAUCACAUUUACAAAAUCGACUAAAAGCGUUAAAAAGUCUUUAGUUGUAUUAAAUUUUUACGAUAACGAUCACACAUGAACGAUCACACAUGAACGAUCACACAUGAACAAUCACAAGUAUUGCUUGAAGACUCAAUUUCUUAAAGUCAAUAUCUUUGGAGCUUAGAGGCGUUGCGAAUAAAUCAAUAGAGAUAUCCAAACCAGCAUUCCUUUGUUCAUCGUGAGGGAUGCGUAUCAAACCUUUUAGAAACUCGGGACAUCAUGACGGAAGCAACUCACUGCAGACACGCAGUAGACGUCAUUUACACAGACUUUGCAAAGACGCUCGACAAAGUACCACAUAAACGCCUCUUUCAUAAGCUGAGAGCGUACGGUAUUCAAGGCGCUCUCGUUGACUGGAUUGCAGCUUGGCUAAACAAUCGAUGUCAACGAGUGGUUAUAAACAGCAUUACUUCUGAAUGGAAAGCAGUCACUAGUGGAGUGCCUCAAGGCUCGGUUUUGGGGCCAUUGCUAUUCGUAAUCUUUGUAAACGACCUGCCGGACAGAAUUACUCAUCAUGUGAAACUGUUUGCCGACGACAGCAAAAUAAUAGGGAUAAUUAAAAAGGAGUCGGACAGCAUCACUCUCCAAGAUAACGUUGACAGAGCAGUGGAAUGGUCACACAUUUGGCUCUUGCAUUUCAAUGUUGAUAAAUGCAAAGUAAUGCAUGUUGGGCGCGGAUGUAACAAGUCAAAGUACAAAUACUCAAUGUCUAACGUCGACGGCACCCGCCGUCCUCUCGAAAAAACCGCAGUCGAAAGAUAUUUUGGUGUGAUGGUCUAGAAUGAUCUUAAAGUCAGACCGUAAAUAGAGUCAGCCGCAUUAUUAGCAAAUAGAAUGCUAGGGCUCAAAAAAACAUUUCGCAGUCGCAGUUUUUAUUUACGGCGCACUCUGUAUCUCACUUACAUUCUCCCCCAUCUUGAGUUUGUUGUACAAGACUGGUCACUGCAUUUAAAAAUCAGACAUUGCCAUUCUUGAGCAAGUCCAACAACGAGCAACAAAAACAAAAUCGACUAAUAAGAAGCAGUGAACGCUCAGUCCAUCAACGCUUUCAAAAACAACAUAAGAAAGUCACUUUAUAGAUACAACUGCUGCUUUAUCUGUAGCGUCUGUAUCUCCAUGUUCGUCAGCAUAGAGGGACCUGGUGUAGCACCUCUUCAUCAAAUUAUAAAUGGAUUAUUGUAUUUGUAUUUGAUCACUGAAAUAAAUAAAUAACAAAUAA